AGGAUAGUAGUUAAAAAUAACACUUGAGUUGCAUACAAGAAGUGCUGUAUUAAUAAUUCAAUAGCAGCCUAUCUUA
rnacentral:tRNA from 1 species